rnacentral:lncRNA from 1 species
AACUUCUUCCAGGAAUCUUACUACCUUUCUUGCACUCUUCCUUAGUUUUGUGUGUGUUUAGGGGAGGGAAGGGAGAGGAUUAGAAGCCUAAGCAGUUGAAGCCCUCAACCCCACCCCCAAAGCAAGCAUUCCUAGGACUUGUCAGUUGUUUCUAGUACCAGAGCUCCUCUCCUGGCCCAGAUGGAGAGUCGGCUUUAUGCUUCCCUUCGCCUGCACCCCUUUCUAAUAAACAACCCCUCCAACUCUUAACAGAUUGCUUGGUGCAAAUGAGAGUUGGAAAAAAAAAAAAAUCUCCAACCUUUGAGUGACUCCAGUCUCCGGGCAGUGCUAUAGAGACAACACACAAAUAUUCUAAAGAUUGGACCGGGUCUCAUUUCAGGCUUUGUAUGUUUUUGCAGUGACCCUCAGCUACACACCUUUGACUGGAAACUUUACCGUCAAAAUGGUGCUUUCAAAGUAUUUUCAUGUGGGAGCCACGUAACAAACCUGAGAGUACAGCCAAGGGGUGGAGUUGAGCCGGAGUUGCAGAUGGAGAGGUUUAUCAUGCAUUUUGAAUUGGUUUUCUGGACGUGGUGGUGGACCUUGCGUAACCAUCCAACUCUUGCCUGGGAAGCUCAGA